CCUACGGGAGGCUGCAGUGGGGAAUAUUGGACAAUGGGGGGAACCCUGAUCCAGCCAUGCCGCGUGUGUGAAGAAGGCCCUCGGGUUGUAAAGCACUUUCAGUGAGGAAGAACGCCUGGUGGUUAAUACCCAUCAGGAAAGACAUCACUCACAGAAGAAGCACCGGCUAACUCCGUGCCAGCAGCCGCGGUAAUACGGAGGGUGCGAGCGUUAAUCGGAAUUACUGGGCGUAAAGCGCGCGUAGGUGGCUUGAUAAGCCGGUUGUGAAAGCCCCGGGCUCAACCUGGGAACGGCAUCCGGAACUGUCAAGCUAGAGUGCAGGAGAGGAAGGUAGAAUUCCCGGUGUAGCGGUGAAAUGCGUAGAGAUCGGGAGGAAUACCAGUGGCGAAGGCGGCCUUCUGGACUGACACUGACACUGAGGUGCGAAAGCGUAGGUAGCAAACAGGAUUAGAUACCCUGGUAGUC
rnacentral:rRNA from 1 species